rnacentral:rRNA from 1 species
AACGUACGCUGGCGGCACGCCUAACACAUGCAAGUCGAACGAAGUAGCAAUACUUAGUGGCAGACGGGUGAGUAACAUGUAGGUAUCUGCCCUUUGGCCUGGAAUAACACGAGGAAACUUGUGCUAAUACCGGAUAAGUCUUUACGGAGAAAGCUUUAUGCACCAUUGGAUGAGCCUGCACUUGAUUAGUUUGUUGGUGGGGUAAUGGCCUACCAAGACUGUGAUCAAUAGCUGAUUUGAGAGGAUGAUCAGCCACAUUGGGACUGAGACACGGCCCAAACUCCUACGGGAGGCAGCAGUGGGGAAUCUUGCACAAUGGAGGAAACUCUGAUGCAGCGAUGCCGCGUGAGUGAAGAAGGCCCUUGGGUUGUAAAGCUCUUUCGUCGGGGAAGAAAAUGACUGUACCCGAAUAAGAAGGUCCGGCUAACUUCGUGCCAGCAGCCGCGGUAAUACGAAGGGACCUAGCGUAGUUCGGAAUUACUGGGCUUAAAGAGUUCGUAGGUGGUUGAAAAAGUUAGUGGUGAAAUCCCAGAGCUUAACUCUGGAACUGCCAUUAAAACUUUUCAGCUAGAGUAUGAUAGAGGAAAGCAGAAUUUCUAGUGUAGAGGUGAAAUUCGUAGAUAUUAGAAAGAAUACCAAUUGCGAAGGCAGCUUUCUGGAUCAUUACUGACACUGAGGAACGAAAGCAUGGGUAGCGAAGAGGAUUAGAUACCCUCGUAGUCCAUGCCGUAAACGAUGUGUGUUAGACGUUGGAAAUUUAUUUUCAGUGUCGCAGGGAAACCGAUAAACACACCGCCUGGGGAGUACGACCGCAAGGUUAAAACUCAAAUGAAUUGACGGGGACCCGCACAAGUAGUGGAGCAUGUGGUUUAAUUCGAAGAUACGCGCAGAACCUUACCAACACUUGACAUGUUCGUCGCGACUCUAAGAGAUUAGAGUUUUCGGUUCGGCCGGACGAAACACAGGUGCUGCAUGGCUGUCGUCAGCUCGUGUCGUGAGAUGUUGGGUUAAGUCCCGCAACGAGCGCAACCCUCACUUUUAGUUGCCAUCAUUAAGUUGGGCACUCUGAAAGAACUGCCAGUGAUAAGCUGGAGGAAGGUGGGGAUGACGUCAAGUCCUCAUGGCCCUUACGUGUUGGGCUACACACGUGCUACAAUGGUAUCUACAACAGGAAGCAAGACUGCGAAGUUAAGCAAAUCCCUAAAAGAUACCUCAGUUCGGAUUGCACUCUGCAACUCGAGUGCAUGGAGCUGGAAUUACUAGUAAUCGUGGAUCAGCGUGCCACGGUGAAUGCGUUCCCGGGUCU